rnacentral:sRNA from 1 species
GAGAGCCCCGGAGUGAGAGGAGUAGCGAGUCGGCAACCCGGAGGGGUAGGAAUAUUUCUGUCAUGGCUCAUUCAAAGACUAGGACCAAUGAUGGAAAAAUUACAUAUCCGCCUGGGGUCAAGGAAAUAUCAGAUAAAAUAUCUAAAGAGGAGAUGGUGAGACGAUUAAAGAUGGUUGUGAAAACUUUUAUGGAUAUGGACCAGGACUCUGAAGAAGAAAAGGAGCUUUACUUAAACCUAGCUUUACAUCUUGCUUCAGAUUUUUUUCUCAAGCAUCCUGAUAAAGAUGUUCGCUUACUGGUAGCCUGCUGCCUUGCUGAUAUUUUCAGGAUUUAUGCUCCUGAAGCUCCUUACACAUCCCCUGAUAAACUGAAGGCAAGUACUGAUUUAAAUAACUCCAAGAUUGACCGAUACUUUGAUUUAUCUUUCUAACUAAAAUAGGAGUUAAGGUAUUUAGAUGAUUUCCUUGGAUUCUUUGACAUUAGCUAUAGUCAUCUUUUGCUAAACUUGAUGUUUUUUUUUUUUUGUAGAACUUAUUUUUGAAAAACUUUCUGGUCUUGAGGUUAAGAAGUAGAUUAAUACAGUGUAUAAUUUUUUUUGUAUUAUGUCAUCAUUAGCUCUGUUUCUUUCAUUAUAAUUUUGGGGACAAUUCCUUUUCACUUUUGAAAAUCCUUAUUGAAGACCAUGGCCAUUAUUUAAAACACAAUAUCUAGUAUAAACAUGAGUUUAUAUAAUCCUAAUUUAUUUAAUGAAAGGUGUGAUAUAAAUUUUUAUGAAGAAAAUACAGGCCAGGUGCAGUGGCUCACGCCUGUAAUCCCAGCACUUUGGGAGGCCGAGGCAGGAUGAUUACUUGAGUUCAUGAGUUGGAGACCAGCUUGGGCAACAUAGCAAGGCGUUGUCUCUACUUUAAAAAAAAAAAAAAAAAAAAAGAAA